UAUAUAAUUAUGGAUAACGCCCCAUAUCACUCGGUCCAAAAGCACAAACCACCAACUUCGGCAAACAGGAAGUUAGAAAUAAUUGCAUGGCUUCAAGAAAAAGGAAUAGAGGCCAAUGAAACAAUGCUUAAAAACGAAUUAUUGAGACUCGUUGGUCUGCACAAACCCAGCACACCAACGUAUGUCUUAGAUGACAUAGCCCAAGAAAAGGGUCAUAACGUCAUAAGACUGCCUCCAUAUCACUGCCAGUAUAAUCCGAUCGAGCUUAUCUGGGCCCAAGUAAAAGGUUACGCUGCUAGAUCUAACACAACACCACCUUUUACGGCAAAUAAAAU
rnacentral:misc_RNA from 1 species